AUUUCUCUUUCCUGUUGCCAUGUGAAGAAGGACAUGUUUGCUUCCACUUCCACCAUGGUUGUAAGUUUCCUGAGGCCUCCACAGCCAUGCUGAACUGGUGGCAGAAAACAGGCAUGAAAGUCAAAAGGCUCACCUGUAACUCUUUUACAAUCAUAAAGCACAGAAGCCUGUCUAAGCCAUUUAGACCAAAGGUUCCCAAGGUGGUCUGGAUUUCUGAGAAGAGGCGGCUGCUGGUCACUUCCUGAUGAGUUUUCAUAUCAUACCAAGUGUUCAGCUGGUCUAUGUGACAUGUCAUUCUAAAAUGAAAACAAUGCAAAAACCCCAGAAUGGCUCAGAAUUCAUCCUUAAAGAGAUGUUAGGACUCAACAGGACAUGCGGCACCAAAUAUGAAGAACAGGAGUUACAUGAUCUGUGUUUUCUAACCUCUGUAUUCAGGCACCCAAUGCGUCUUCCCAGUGACACCCAAUGGAACAGGAAGGUAAAAUUCAGUCUGACCCCCUUUUCCUGCCCUAUGCCAUAUCAUUGGUUUCAGUCAUUUAUUUCCAUUGAGUUAGGGUGUUGACUUGGAAUCAUGCUGAGAAGACAAG
ensembl:lncRNA WASHC5-AS1 WASHC5 antisense RNA 1